CAACAAGGGCCAUUUCCUUACCUUGAUCAGCCGCAAUCAAACCAAGAACAAGAUCAGGACGAAGCUGACGAAACAGAAUAUCAGAACGGGGCAAUGGAAGUGGCGAGGAACGUGGUUGAUAGUACUCUAGAGAGGGCAAGUUUGCAUGAAUUCCCCGGAUUAAAUAAUUGAUAGUUUAUUCUCGUCUUUCUCAUUCUCUCUCUAUAUAUCUCGUACUUAACUCGGAUUCUCAUAUUCCUGUUGACAUCUUAUUGCAGUAGGCUAAGAGGAAUUAUAUGCUAUGCUGUUUCUCCAGGUCGUUAGACUACAUCGGAUUCUUUGACAGUGAAUAAGCGCUUAUUGCCGUGGAGGAACUUGAAGAAGACAGUGGAGAGUAGAGUAUGUAUAUUCUCUUUUUAUGACUAUAUAUAUAUAGAGAGAGAGAGAGAGAGAGAAAUCCAGAUAAAAUUGUUGAUGUAGACAGAAGAAAAGGAGAUUGGUGGAGGAACUAGUUCUUCAGCUCAUUGUACAUGCUAUGUUAAAUUGUUCAUUAUCUUAUGAUUUUAUUGCCUA